UACGUAGGGUGCAAGCGUUAAUCGGAAUUACUGGGCGUAAAGCGUGCGCAGGCGGUUGUGCAAGACCGAUGUGAAAUCCCCGGGCUUAACCUGGGAAUUGCGUUGGAGACUGCAAGGCUGGAGUCUGGCAGAGGGGGGUAGAAUCCACGUGUAGCAGUGAAAUGCGUAGAGAUGUGGAGGAACACCGAUGGCGCAAGGCAGCCCCCUGGGUCGAAGACUGACGCCCACGCACG
rnacentral:rRNA from 1 species